GGCCUAGCCGGGUGGUCUUUUUGUACUGCCUGGUUGGGUUCUUCCUUCUGGACACCCAACGUUUACUUCACUGUGAGCUUGGCGAUCCAGGACUUUUACCUUGAAAAAAUUAGAGUGUUCAAAGCAGGCUUACGCUUGAAUACAUUAGCAUGGAAUAAUAGAAUAGGACGGCAUGGUUCUAUUUUGUUGGUUUCUAGGAUCACCGUA
rnacentral:rRNA from 1 species